UGGGGGAGAGUGCACAAGGGGCGAAAGCCUGAUGCAGCGACGCCGCGUGGGGGAUGAAGGCCUUCGGGUUGUAAACUUCUUUUGCUCUGAACAAGGCAUGCUAAUGGGUGUGUUGAGUGUAGGGGUUGAUUAGCGCCGGCUAACUACGUGCCAGCAGCCGCGGUAAUACGUAGGGCGCGAGCGUUGUCCGGAAUUAUUGGGCGUAAAGGGCUUGUAGGUGGCUGGUUGCGUCUGUCGUGAAAGCUCAUGGCUUAACUGUGGGUUUGCGGUGGGUACGGGCUGGCUUGAGUGCAGUAGGGGAGGCUGGAAUUCCUGGUGUAGCGGUGGAAUGCGCAGAUAUCAGGAGGAAUACCGGUGGCGAAGGCGGGUCUCUGGGCGGUUACUGACACUGAGGAGCGAAAGCAUGGGGAGCGAACAGG
rnacentral:rRNA from 1 species